UAGUCCACGCCGUAAACGAUGUCAACUAGCCGUUGGGAGCAUAUAAGCUCUGAGUGGCGCAGCUAACGCGAUAAGUUGACCGCCUGGGGAGUACGCCGGCAACGGUAAUACUCAAAGGAAUUGACGGGGGCCCGCACAAGCGGUGGAGCAUGUGGUUUGAUUCGAAGCAACGCGCAGAACCUUACCAACCCUUGACAUACCUGUCGUACUUUCCAGAGAUGGAUUGGUCAGCUAGGCUGGACAGGAUACAGGUGCUGCAUGGCUGUCGUCAGCUCGUGUCGUGAGAUGUUCGGUUAAGUCCGGCAACGAGCGCAACCCACAUCUUUAGUUGCCAGCAGUUCGGCUGGGCACUCUAAAGAACUGCCCGUGAUAAGCGGAGGAAGGUGUGGAUGACGUCAAGUCCUCAUGGCCCUUACGGGUUGGGCUACACACGUGCGUACAAUGGUAAUGACAAUGGGUUAAUCCCAAAAGUUAUCUCAGUUCGGAUUGGGGU
rnacentral:rRNA from 1 species